UGUCGAUGAAGAGCGCAGCCAACUGUGUGAAUUAAUGUGAACUGCAUGCUGCUUUGAACAUCGACAACUUGAACGCAUAUUGCGGUCACAGGCUAGCCUGUGGCCACGCCUGUCCGAGGGUCG
rnacentral:rRNA from 1 species